rnacentral:rRNA from 1 species
GAUGAACGCUGGCGGUAGGCCUAACACAUGCAAGUCGAACGGCAGCACAGGAGAGCUUGCUCUCUGGGUGGCGAGUGGCGGACGGGUGAGGAAUACAUCGGAAUCUACUUUUUCGUGGGGGAUAACGUAGGGAAACUUACGCUAAUACCGCAUACGACCUACGGGUGAAAGCAGGGGAUCUUCGGACCUUGCGCGAUUGAAUGAGCCGAUGUCGGAUUAGCUAGUUGGCGGGGUAAAGGCCCACCAAGGCGACGAUCCGUAGCUGGUCUGAGAGGGUGAUCAGCCACACUGGAACUGAGACACGGUCCAGACUCCUACGGGAGGCAGCAGUGGGGAAUAUUGGACAAUGGGCGCAAGCCUGAUCCAGCCAUACCGCGUGGGUGAAGAAGGCCUUCGGGUUGUAAAGCCCUUUUGUUGGGAAAGAAAUCCAGCUGGUUAAUACCCGGUUGGGAUGACGGUACCCAAAGAAUAAGCACCGGCUAACUUCGUGCCAGCCGCCGCAGUAA